rnacentral:rRNA from 1 species
GGGAACCUCACCAGGCCCGGACACCGGAAGGAUUGACAGAUUGAGAGCUCUUUCUUGAUUCGGUGGGUGGUGGUGCAUGGCCGUUCUUAGUUGGUGGAGUGAUUUGUCUGGUUAAUUCCGAUAACGAACGAGACUCUGUCCUGCUAAAUAGUGUCCGCUUCUCUUUUGAGCGGACAAUUCUUCUUAGAGGGACUGGCGACUCUUAGUCGCACGAGAUUGAGCAAUAA